rnacentral:lncRNA from 1 species
CCGGAACAGUUGGCGAUUCCAUGGUACAGACUAUCAGAAGAAUUAGAUUUGAAGCCUGUUCUAACAUAUGCCGAUGUUAUAAUUAUUAACUGGAGGAAAAAAGAUGAGAAUAAGCCCCUGGAGUUAGAUAACCUCCGAUGUCUUUACAAUGUGACUGAAGGUGAAAAUGCCGAAUGGUUUCUUACAGUCACAAUACAAAUUGAAUUUGAAUUCGCAGCAGCAAUCCAGUCUAUUUUGGAAGCUAUCCAAGCUGUCUCUGAUUCUGACACACCAAAACUCAAUCGUUGCUUGCGUGAGAUUAACGACGUUAUAUUAAAUAUGUUG